AUUUAGAUACAGGGCUACAAGUGUGAUACCGGCCAAAAUCUCUUCAGUCAAUGGUCAUGGGUUUUGGGGUCCAUAAGUAUCAAAUGUUUCUAUGUCUGCAUAUUUUUUGUCCAUGUAGUAUAUGUUUAUCUCGAUAAAUAAGAGGCAAACAACAUGGAUCCAGAUCAUUUAAUAUUCCCUUCACGUUUCACCAGCGUGCUCUGCCGGAAGCCAGAAAAGACGAGGCAUUCAAGAUGCCUGCAAGAAGUCCUUCUCCAUCUUUCUACGUUCCAAGUUCUCCUCUCUAAAUCUUGCCCCGUAGACUCCACGUCACCUUAUUCAGCCAACUGCACUAAGCAGAACGGGAGUGAGGUGCCACUUUCUCGAUAUUUGGGAGACCAAAACCUAAACAACAGUUGCUAGGAAACUAGUUUUGGCUCGGUGGUUUCCGUGACAACGAUGAUGUACGACUGGGAAAGAUCUCAAAAAGAAAAGAAUGGAGAGAGAGAGAGAAAAUAAAGAAAAAGAAUGCGGGAAGGAGCACAUUCCGGAAUGGAGAAGAGCGGACAACCUGAGUUCUCCUGAACGACAUGUCCCAGCAUGGUCAUUGGCUGAAUGGGCGUGAUGGUUUAUGAAUAGAGGCUACACGAAAUACUAGUGUCGUAGUUAACAUCCUGUGCUCUCUUCUGACACCUCUGUCCAUAUCAGACGCGACAGUCUCAGCUCUGCGUGCUCUCUGCUGACACCUCUGUCCAUAUCAGACGCGACAGUCUCAGCUCUGCGGGUUGGAGCUCAAAUGGUUCAGAGAUUUUAAGGUAACCUCCUAUUCUUCAUCUUCAGCAAUGUACAAAUGUACGGACUUCUCUAGUCAUAUUCCCAAAUUGUUGACCCUAGAGAUUCCUCCUAGUCACAGUCAAAGGUCAAAAAUGGUGGAAUUCUGUCAAUAAGGCAGAGGUCAAGGGAGGUGUAAAUAAGCCAAGAUGUUUCCAAAAUCCGUUGACCGUUCUCAGUAACCCAGGCGCAGAACUUUGAUAUUAGUAAAACAAAGAUGUCUUCUUUGAAGAGCUGAUCAUGAGGUGGACCUUGACGUGGUCGGAUUGAAUUCUGUGGUCUUCUACACCGGGUGGACUGUGUCAAUCCAACACUGUUCAUCUCUAUUUAAAUACUAGCCACCUGUUACGAAACAAGGAAUGGAUACGAGAUGAUCUGUGCUAUCGAGCCAGGAAGCAAAUGUUACCUGUUGAUGUGGAGUCAUAAAGCAGAUGGAGCGGACAUGUUUAAUACUAGGACUGCGAGGAUGUUCAUCACCCCCACAGGACCAGUUAUACAUUUAUACAUUAUUAGCUCACUUUUUGCUAAAUGCUUUUAUGUCCUCUGAAUCCUGCGCCGAUAUUAAGCUGCACAUAGGACGCUGUCAAU